rnacentral:rRNA from 1 species
UCGGGAAUAUUGCGCAAUGGGGGAAACCCUGACGCAGCCAUGCCGCGUGUGUGAAGAAGGCUCUAGGGUUGUAAAGCACUUUCAACGGGGAAGAAAAGCUGAUGGUUAAUACCCAUCAGCCCUGACGUUACCCGCAGAAGAAGAUCCGGCUAACUCCGUGCCAGCAGCCGCGGUAAUACGGAGGGAUCGAACGUUAAUCGGAAUUACUGGGCGUAAAGCGCGCGUAGGUGGUUUGGUAAGCGGGAUGUGAAAGCCCCGGGCUCAACCUGGGAACUGCAUUUCGAACUGCCAGACUAGAGUGCAGUAGAGGGAGGUGGAAUUUCCUGUGUAGCGGUGAAAUGCGUAGAUAUAGGAAGGAACACCAGUGGCGAAGGCGGCCUCCUGGACUGACACUGACACUGAGGUGCGAAAGCGUGGGGAGCAAACAGGAUUAGAUACCCCCGUAGUCC